ACGAAAUUGUGCCAGGAAGAUGCUGUUAUCGCACGAUUUUGUGCGAGAUCUCGCUGUGUUCCGGAAAAGUAUCCUCAAUUACCAUCAACAGAGAAACCACGUGCUAGCAUACAAUAACAACAUAAGAACUAGGUCUGAAAGCAAGAAAAAAAGAGACCAGCUAGAUCAUCUGCGGAAUGGCCUGGCACAGUAACCAAAAGGGGAAGUCCUUACAGCAGAAGCUCAGUUUGGAUCACAACAAGACCUCAGCUGUUUUCCCAAUAUGAGCAGUCAUCUUUGAACAUGUGUGCAAGCUAUUACAAUAAUAACUACCCAAUCUUAAAUAAA